rnacentral:lncRNA from 1 species
GAAGAUCGUCGGUGAGGAGAGUGGCGGUGACUUGGGCGUGGUGUUGAUCAGACGGCUGAGAAAGAUCGUCAAUGAAGUGAGACUCAGGCAAUCCAACAGGUGAAAAAUCAGGAUGAUCAUCAUCAUGCGGUGGAGAUGAAACACUGUGGGAGUGUGAAGGUACUGGGAUUAUUCCUUCACCGUCUGCGGGCGAUCCAACAGGUGAAAAAUCAGGAUGAUCAUCAUCAUGCGGUGGAGAUGAAACACUGUGGGAGUGUGAAGGUACUGGGAUUAGUCCUUCACCGUCUGCUUCCAUUUUUGUUAAGAGGAGAGAGAGGAGAGAAGUUAUUUGGAAAACUAAAAGGUCAAAGGAGAAAAUCCAUUAUUCAUCUUCUUCUCCGUCCACCAUGGUUUCCUUGUUAUUCUUCUUCUCCUGAAUCUCUCGUAAGAACGCCCUGGUAAUCGGCAUUAUUCUUCUUCUUCUCCGUCCUUAGUUUCCUUGUUAUUCUUCUUCUCCUGAAUCUCUCGAAAGAAUGUCCUGGUAAUCGGCAAGUAUAUAUGGAAAGAUGAAUUCAGACGAAAGGAUUUUUUUUUCCUUUUUCUUUUUUCACUUUUUUUUCCCCCUUUCUUACUUUGGUUACUCAAAGUGAAUCAUUUAGUCCAUUUUUCAGUCAAUUUAGUUCAGCU